UGGAAAAAUCUGGAUAUGGGGGUGGCAGUUAUGAACCCAUUUACAUGGGUUAUGUUUAUCUUUUAACGGGUCAAACGGGUUGAACAUUCUCUAUAUAAUCAUUUUUUUUAGUUUUAUAAGCUCAUUCAAGAACAAGCUCAUUAACACAUCGCGUGGACAAGUGUAGUGAAGACCGAUGCACCCGUAUCACCUCCUGCGAUGCCGAUGAACGCAAGAUGCGGAAAUUCACGUGGAUGAUUACGACAAUGAAGAUUCGUCUGUAUGUUGGUGGCGUUGACAACAACACUACCACUACAACACGAUCAGCAAAGAGAUGGUUUUUUGAUAAAGCGUAAAGUGGGUUUAGUAUUUCUAGACGCAUUUUCGGUAUUCGUACAAAUGUUAAUUGGUUGCUCUGACCCGUUCUUGAGGUAGUAUAAUUCAAGUGCUUUAUUUGUUUACAUUUGUUCUUGGCAUGACUUAAGAGAGCAUUUCCUUUUGAGUUUUGAAAUUUAUUUACGU